rnacentral:rRNA from 1 species
AGAGUUGAUCCUGGCUCAGGAUGAACGCUAGCGGCAGGCUAACACAUGCAAGUCGAGGGGUAACAGGGCGUAGCAAUACGCCGCUGACGACCGGCGCACGGGUGCGUAACGCGUAUACAACCUACCUGUAACAGGGGGAUAACGGAGUGAAAACUCCACUAAUACCCCAUAUUGACGAGUCUUCGCAUGGUGAUUCGUCGAAAGCUUCGGUGGUUACGGAUGGGUAUGCGUGACACUAGGUAGUUGGCGGGGCAACGGCCCACCAAGCCGACGAUGUCUAGGGGAGCUGAGAGGCUAGUCCCCCCACACUGGUACUGAGACACGGACCAGACUCCUACGGGAGGCAGCAGUGAGGAAUAUUGGUCAAUGGACGGAGGUCUGAACCAGCCAUGCCGCCGUGAGGGAAGAAGGUCCUAUGGGUUGUAAACCUCUUUUGCUCCGGAGCAAUAAGGCGGAUGCGUCCGCCGACGAGAGUACGGGGCGAAUAAGCAUCGGCUAACUCCGUGCCAGCCGCCGC